rnacentral:tRNA from 1 species
GCCCGAGUGGCGGAAUGGUAGACGCAGGGGAUUCAAAAUCCCCCGCCGCAAGGCGUGAGAGUUCGAAUCUCUCCUCGGGCACCA